GGGCGCAUGGUUUAGGGGUAUAAUAUCUCAUUCGCAAGUCCUGAGAGACUGAAUGUUGAGAUGGUCCUGGGUUCGAUUCCCAGUACGUCCA
rfam:Tuber melanosporum whole genome shotgun sequence assembly, scaffold_133, strain Mel28